GAUCCCAUGGGACCUUCCGAGGAGCCUGAUGAAAUAGCUCAGAGCUGUCUCCUCGGGGGACUAAGUGGGGAAGCAUCUAGCCCCCAUUCCCAUCUCUAUCGCUCAAAGAGAAAGUGGAAGAGAAGAAGAAAGAGAGACAGAGAAACAUCGACUGGUUGCUUCUCGUGUGCUCCCUGACUGGGACCAAAGCCACAACCCAGGCAUGUGCCCUGACCCAGAAUCCAACUAACAACCUUUUGCUUUGAAGGAUGACACCCAACCAACUGAGCCGCACCUCUCAGGAGGCCUGUGAUAAACCUAAGCAGCAACAGGAAUUCUGCUAGGAGGGCAGCCUAAUGCUAUGGAGCUGGAGCUGUAUCUUGGAAGACCCACCAGCGAUUGGUGAAUAAGAUUAGCUCCAACCAACCUGCUUCCCCUCAGUAGGGAUCUCAGGAGAGAGCAAGUCACCGACCUGUCCUUUUCCCUGACUUUCUCCUCCUGUCACUGUGUCAGGCCUAUCACACUGAGGGGAAUCUACCUUCAUGGGGGAAGACUGAGAGAAUUUCAGAGGAAGGGAAAGAGAAAAAUUAAAAUAUUGACUACUUCACUGCUAUAAUCAAAUGGUCCUUGUCCCCAGAAAGACUUGGGGACUAAGGAUUUUUUUGUCUUCCAUAUGAAGACAACACACACACACACACACACACACACACACGCACACACACGCACACACGCAAGCGUGUGCUAUAAAACAAAAUGCUGAUUCCCAUCCACUUAGUGCCUAUAAAAAUAAUUGGUACUUAAAAAAACAACUACUUUAUAAUCUGUUUAAGAUCCUAGUCAGAAUAAGCAUUUGUUUUUACCUCGAGCAGGAAGCUCCCUUGAGGGAGCCUGAUUGGAGGAAAGACAUGGUGCAAAGUGUCUGAUUCGGGGCAGCCAUGAUGAAUCUGCCUUUCGCUUCCUUUGUGACCUUACUCCCUCCCCUGGGAAUAUUUAACUCAUCUUUAAGAAUAAGUGAGCUUGCUGUCUAGCGUCUUCAAACCUUCUUCUUCCCAGACGAUCGGCAACAUUAUUUUCACUUGAAGGCCAUUGAAUCUCUAGAAACAUCCAUAUUUAAAUGUUACAAUAAAAACACAUUACAAAGUAAAGUGAAAAAGUGCACUCUGCUCCAAAGCAUGGAAAAUUAGGACUUGACUGUUUGGGAAAGUUCCUGCUGUGUUAAAAUCUGUUGAAAGCACGCCUGUUUUCAUUUUUACUAUUCAUAAGGGCCUCAGUAACAAUUUUGGGGUCAUAGCUAUGAUAUUUAAAACCACUGGCCAGUUAAUGCUAAGACUCUGAAGUCAUGAUUAUUCACUGAAGUUAGAUGACCUUUUACAAUGCUCAGACCAGGAUAACAAAUGUUACCAAAAAAUUCAAGAAGCAUACAGGAUGAUUUUUGUCCUACAUAUCAGUAAUAGGAACUAGAGCACAAUGGAAAAUUGGGACUCAAUUAGGAACUUCUAAUAUCUAUAUUACAUCUUUUUUAGAGUACAUUUUAUUGAUUAUGCUAUUACAGUUGUCCAAUUUUUUUCUCCCCUUUAUCCACUUCCACCCUGUACCCUCUCACCCUCCAACAUUCCCCUCACAACUUAGUUCAUGUCCAUGGGUCGUAUGUAUAAGUUCUUUGGCUUCUCCAUUUCCUAUACUAUUCUUAACUUCCCCUUGUCUAUUUUAUGCCUACCAAUUAUAUUACAUCUUUUAAAAAAUUCCUAAAAAUAAAUUCUAUGUAUGAACAA